AUGAGCGCACGUGCUAUUCUUUCGACCAAGAACGAUCAUGUCGAUGACCUAAAUGACAAGAUGAUCUACAGGUUUCCAGGCAAAAAAAAGUUAUACCAUAGCUUCGACUCAAUCGAGGAUGACUUGCAAAAUAAUUACACAAUUGAUUUUCUAAACUUGAUCACACCAAAUGGCUUGCCACCACAUGUAUUGAGAUUAAAGGUCAACUGCCCGAUCAUUCUGCUCCGGAACCUCGACCCUCAUAAUGGCCUAUGCAAUGGGACACGACUUAUGAUUAGAGCCUUCCAGGAUAAUGCAAUCGACGCAGAGAUUGUUGGUGGUCAGCAUGCUGGAAAGAGGGUGUUCAUACCUAGGAUCCCUAUGUUGCCCUCCGAGGACAUCUCACUUCCUUUCAAACUUAAGAGAAAACAGUUCCCCAUCCGCCUGAGUUUUGCGAUGACAAUUAACAAGGCCCAGGGUCAGACUAUCCCAAACGUCGGUAUUUACCUUCCCAAGCCAGUAUUCUCACAUGAUCAGCUAUAUGUUGCAUUGUCAAGGGGAGUGUCCAGAUAG
rnacentral:rRNA from 1 species